GGUUCUUGGGAGAAGAUGAAAAGGGAACCCCGUGAAAAUCAGGGACUAUACCCGUAGCUGUAAGCUCUGAAACAUGCCGAACACCCCAUGCCACUGUCCAACCCAUGAGGACGGGAAGGCCGUUCGGAAGGGAGUAAGUCAGAAGACCUGCCUUGGAAAC
rnacentral:ncRNA from 1 species